CCUCCGUGUCCCCACUGCUUUUGUGUACUGUGGCAGGAAGCAGUCGUCGGCUGCAUUCGUGGAAAAUAACAACUGCAGACACAAGCCAUAAUGUUCCAGUGGAAAUCAAACUCUGAGAAAUUUUUUAAAUGUUUUCAACACAUCAGCAUGAAGCAUCGACCUAGUUGGAAUCACUUAGAUCUAAAGCGAAUGCACUGAUUGUUUUCACAGCAGGCUUUUCUUCUCGGAGCUGAGACGGGCGCACUGGCGCGGGUGGCCCGGAAAGGUUUCCAGCCCCCUGCCUCGGUCUGCUAUAGCCUGUGACUCGAUCAAUACCGGGGUGAGCCGCAGAGGAAGCUCAGGGAAGAUUAUGAAGAUGAGGUUUUGUAACAGAAUCAUUUCCCAGACCACCGCGGACAGCCCAAUCAUAACAGAAGCCAGUAUAAGGAAACGCGCAGCCAGCCCAGACCCUGAGGCCUGUGCAUCAAGAUGGCAGGCUGGCCAAGGGUCCUCUGGGGACAGCAGUGCCAGAAGGAGGAUUGGACACGGUGACCCGUCUGCCUGAGAUGAGGGGGGAAAAAAACAACAUCAACCAGGAGCUCUGUAAUACUGAUGAACUAAUCUGUCACUCACAAGCUCGGGUCUACAAAAAAGAAAACUGCAAUAAACAUUUAAUAACCAUGAGGGGUGAAAAUGCGAGCCCCCAUUUUCAAAUGCUGUUCAAACCUACGGCUCAGAACCUACUUAACUGGUUAGUUUGCGUUGAUUUGAAAAAUCAUCUGAAGACCACAAUCCACCCUAUAGUUCCAAGGGUUAGGAAGUGUGCCACAGAUAACUAUCAAACAUCCAGAUGAUUUCCAAGAACUGUAUGAAUGAACCAAGUUUCUUGAUCUUGAUAUCCCAGGCAGGGAAUUUGUUCUUAAGUACUAGACUGCUUAAUUGCUUGGGGGAGAGAAAAUCCUGGGGGAAAGACAUUUAUGAGGCAAUAUGUGCUCCAUAGAGUCAGUGCACUCUCUCCAGCUGGAUCACGGCCAGCAACGCAGAGAAGUCUACUCUUCUCUCCAGUAGAAGCAACUGGAUAUUUGAUCUUAGAGAUGAAUGAAAAACCUAAAGAUCAUAUUUCAUGGGAAUCUUUCAGUAUCCUGAAUGGAAAAUACCACUGAAAAUCGGUUAUUUGCUCCUCCAACCCAAAUCCACUUAGGACCAGAAUUAAGAACGUGGGUGGGGGGCCGCGGGGGAAGGA